rnacentral:lncRNA from 1 species
ACUAAUGGUGCGGAUACCGGAGGGUCAAGAGUCCCUUAGAGUUUCUAGGUAGUCAAUAAAUGUAUGACUCUUCGAGUUUCUAUGAUAUUUAUUAGAACUCUUGGGAGACCGCGUGGCCUUCCCUUUUGGCUAGUAGUAUUGUGCCACUUGGCACCUUUCCAUUAGCAUUAUGGGCGGCGAGUGGCCUAUAAAUAGUGUGGCCUCCACCCCCUCUCAUUUCAGAAUCUCAUAUUGUAUUCUCAAGUUUAAAGUAAUAGAAGAGCUUUCUUCAUAUCUCUCUCUUGUACUUAGUCUAGGGCGAGUGAGGUCCUAACUUAGCAAGUAGAGAGGCAGGCUUGCUCACUUCACGAAGGAAGGUGAGCGCCGCACGGAUUUUGCGAACCAAACCGUUAAGUCCGUGACAGUUGGUAUCAGAGCCGGUUCGAGAAGGAGCCAUGUCGUCAUCAGAGGCCGGUGCUGACGACGUUGGGGGUGAACCCUCCAAGCAACCCUCCAAGCGGAGCGAGGGCAAGGACACGCGAAUCACGAAGGAUUCCGCGUCGGUCGAGGACCGCCUUGCACUAUUGGAGGACAUUCUAUCAAAGGUGGGAGAAAGGUACACCGAGAUGGCCGAUACCUUUAACGCCUUUAAUGAUGAUAUUCGCAGUAUGGAGGAGAGCGUCGCCACUGCCAUGGCGACCUUUCGAGGCGAGCUCGAGAAGCUCCAAGGCAACAUCACCCGUCGUGGCGAGGAGCGGAAGAACUUGAGCGAGGAGCUAGUCACUUGAGUCGACGAGGUAGAGGAUCUCAAGACGAGAGUGACUAUCCUUGAGAAGGCGGUGGCUCGAGGCGGUGAAACGCAGAAGGAGUACACCCCAAAGGUCCGCGUCCCUGAACCCCAAUGCUUCAAGGGAACGCACGACGAAAAGGAGAUAGACAACUUCCUUUGGCACAUAGAGCGCUAUCUCAAGGUGCUGCGGAUCGAGGACGAGGAGGACAAGGUCCAGACCGCUUCCAUGUACCUCACCGACGAUGCGAUGCUGUGGUGGCGUCGGCGUUCUGCAAAGGCCGAGAAGGGCCAAUGCAAACUGGAUACUUGGGAGGACUUCGUGGGCGAACUGAAAGAACAGUUCUACCCCGAGCGCGUCGAAUACUAGGCGCGGAGGCAACUUCGACGGCUCAAGCAUACAGGAUCCCUCAAGGAGUAUGUCAAGGAAUACUCCAAGCUUAUGCUUGCCAUCACCAGCAUGGCCGAGGAGGAUCGGCUGUUCUUCUUUCUCGACGGUCUCCAACCAUGGGCUAACAAGGAGCUCGUGGCGAGGGACGUCAAAGAUGUGAGCUCCGCUAUCGCUCAAGCGGAGAAACUGCUGGAGUAUGACAAGCCGGACUUCGCUCAUGGCAAACCAUCUAAGGCGGGCAAGACCAAAGGUAGGGGAGACCGCCGCGAGCAGCCUAAUCACAAGGGCCAAGAGCGAAAAGGCCCUCUGCAGAAGAAGAAGACGAUCUCUUGCUAUGUCUGCGGGGGUGAUCACUGGGCGAGAGAUUGCCCAAAGAAGAAGACCAUCAAUGCCAUCCAAGCCGAGGAGGGCGAGGAAUUAGCGGAGACGAAGAUGGGCACGCAACGACUCGUCAACGCGAUCCAGGGGCAGGCGAGCAGCAAACCGCUCAAGAAGGAGCUACUGUUCGUGGACGUGACCCUCAAUGGGAGGGCCACUCGAGCGCUCGUGGACACUGGAGCGACCCACAACUUCAUCGCCGAGUCUGAGGCCAAGCGGCUGGGCCUCACACUCGAGAAGGACACGAGCAAGAUCAAAGCUGUCAACUCGGUGGCACAGCCUGUCGUGGGAGUAGCAAAAGGGGUGACGAUCGCUGUAGGACCCUGGUCGGGUACAGCGAACUUCACCGCCGCGACCAUCGACGACUUCAAAGUCAUUCUCGGCAUCGAUUUUCUAGCUUCAUCGAAAGCGGUCUCGAUGCCGCAUCUCGAGGCCUUGAGCAUCAUGGAUGAGGCAGCCCCGUGCAUGGUCUUGGCGAGCCGUAGCAAGCCAGCGGCAACCCACACCCUCUCUGCUCUGCAACUGCGGAAGGGGGUGAAGCGUGGCGAAAUCACUUACCUUGCAGCCAUCCGCGAGGUGAGCGAAGAGGACCUCGAGGAGGAGGGCCCUCCAGCAGUGAUCGAUGUAGUCCUCGGGGAGUUCAAGGACGUCAUGCCCUAGGAGUUGCCCAAGAGACUUCUACCUAGGCGGGAGGUAGACCAUGCGAUCGAGCUAAAGCCAGGAGAAAAGCCACCAGCAAAGGCACCAUACUGCAUGGCCCCGCUAGAGCUCGAGGAGUUGCAGCGUCAACUGAAGGACCUCCUCGAUGCGGGCUUCAUCAGGCCGUCGAAGGAACCCUACAGAGCACCAGUCUUGUUCCAAAGGAAGAGCGACGAAAGCCUGCGGCUCUGUAUUGACUACAGAGCGUUCAACAAGGUGACGGUAAAGAAUAAGUACCCUAUUCCCCUUGUUGCUGACUUGUUUGACCAGCUUGGCGGAGCGAAGUUCUUCACCAAAUUGGACCUUCGCUCGGGGUACUACCAAGUUAGGAUCGCGGAGGGCGAUGAGGAGAAAACGGCAUGUGUGACGAGGUAUGGAGCCUAUGAGUUCCUCGUCAUGCCAUUCGGCCUGACGAAUGCGCCGGCGACCUUCUGCACCCUGAUGAACAAGCUAUUCCACCCCUACCUCGACCGCUUGGUGGUAGUGUACCUCGACGACAUCGUCGUGUACAGCAACACUCUGGAGGAGCACGUCGAGCAUUUGCGGACGAUCUUCCAAGUACUGCGAAAAAACCAACUCUAUGUCAAGAAGGAGAAGUGCUCCUUUGCGAAGGAGGAUGUGCACUUCCUUGGCCACUAGAUCGGCCGAGGAGAACUCCACAUGGACCAGCAGAAAGUGCGGGCGAUCGGCGAGUGGGAAGCGCCCACGACGGUGUCCGAGCUGCGAUCCUUUCUCGGACUCGUCAACUACUAUCGUCGUUUCAUCGCGGGCUACUCCGCUCGAGCGGCCCCUUUGACAGAUCUGCUGAAGAAGACCCAGUCAUGGGACUGGACCCCUCGAUGCGCGGAGGCAUUCGAGGACUUAAAGCGGGCGGUGACAGAGGAUCCGGUGUUGCGGCUUCCCGACUGCAACCGUCCAUUCGAGGUACAUACUGACGCCUCGGACUUUGCCAUUGGUGGUGUUCUCGUGUAGGACGGACACCCCAUCGCCUAUGAGAGCCGCAAGCUCAACAACACUGAGCGGCGAUACACGGUGCAAGAGAAGGAGAUGACCGCCGCAGUGCACUGCCUCAGGACUUGGCGGCACUAUCUCCUUGGAAGCAAGUUCGUUGUGCGGACGGACAAUGUUGCGACGAGCUACUUCCUCACUCAGAAGAAGCUGUCACCCAAGCAGGCAAGGUGGCAGGACUUCCUGGCGGAGUUCGACAUGGAGCUCUUGUACAAACCCGGGAAGGAGAACCAUGUAGCUGACGCACUCAGCCGUAAGGCCGAGUUGGCAGCGGUGUGCCAGCUCCAAGGCGCAAUCAGGGAGCAAAUCCGCGAAGGGACUUGCGAGGACCCUGUGGCCCAAGGACUCGUGCGACUCGUCAAGGAGGGCAAGGCGCAGCGGUUCUGGCUUAGCGAUGGGCUGCUCCUCACCAAGGGGCGGCGUGUCUAUGUGCCCAAAUGGGGCAACCUUCGUCGCGAGCUCAUGAAGGAGUGUCGGACCUUCAUCUCCGCCUUGCCCAAGGUGGGGACGUUGGGGUCCAUCCUCGUGGUGGUAGACCGAUUCUCCAAGUACGGGACUUUCAUCGCGGCACCAGCAGAUUGCACAGCGGAAGAAGUGGCGCGGCUCUUCGUCAGCAAUGUGGUGAAGCUUUGGGGUGUCCCCGAAAGCAUUGUGAGUGACCGUGACCCUAGGUUCACGGGCAAGUUCUGGACAGAGGUGUUCCAGAUCUUGGGGUCGGAGUUGCUCUUUUCCACCAGUUUCCAACCCACAGACGGACGGCCAGACGGAGCGGGUGAACGCCCUACUGGAGGAGUACCUGCGGCACUAUGUCAGUGCCAACCAGAAGGACUCGGUGCAUCAUCUGGACGUGGCCCAGUUCUCCUACAACUUGCGGCGGAGCGAGUCAACCAACCUUAGCUCGUUCGAGCUAGCAACGGGGAGGCAACCACUCACUCCGUAUUCUGCUGCUGCGGGCGAGCAGGGCCGCAGCCCAAUGGCUCUCCAAUUCACUUCUCAUUUGUAGGAGAAAUGAGACAUUGCGAGAGCCUAUCUCGAGAAGGCAGCCCGCCGAAUGAAAAAGUGGGCCGAUGCAAAGCGGCGACCCUUGGAGUUUGCCGAGGGAGAUCGAGUGUUGAUCAAGCUGCAACCACAACAGUUCAAGGCAUUUCGCAAAGUACACCGUGGGCUUUGCGAAAGUACGAGGGGCCUUUCACUGUCAUCAAGCGAGCGGGCAAGCCUACAAACUGCAACUCCCCGCCAACCUGAAGAUUCAUCCUGUCUUUCAUGCUAGUUGCCUGCGGCCCUACCAUGAAUACGCUGAGGACCCGAGCCGGGGCGUGUCGCAGCGCGCUCCCGCCACUAUGACCACUGCAAUCGACAAGGAGGUCGAAGCCUUGCUGGAUACUCGCACCAUUCGGCGUCGCGGAGUCCCGAGGAGCGUCGAGUACCUUGUCAAGUGGAAGAAUCUCCCACAUGGCGAGGCACGCUGGGAGAAGGCUAACACUCUCUGGAAGUAUCAGAAGCUGAUCGAUGACUUCCAACACCAGCGCGCGACGAGGGCGUCUGCGCAAUAGGUCGGGGAGGUUGUCAUGACAUAAAGAUUUUCUCCGCGAUUUUUCUUUGCAAUCACCCAAACUCCAAAGCGGACAUCUGACGGAGGUUUUGGCUUAGAAUCUUCUAGAAGCUUCUACGCGGAUCUUGAGACUAAUGGUGCGGAUACCAGAGGGUCAAGAGUCCCUUAGAGUUUUUAGGUAGUCAAUAAAUGUAUGACUCUUCGAGUUUCUAUGAUAUUUAUUAGGACUCUUGGGAGACCGCGUGGCCUCCCCUUUUGGCUAGUAGUAUUGUGCCACUUGGCACCUUUUCAUUGGCAUUAUGGGCGGCGAGUGGCCUAUAAAUAGUGUGGCCUCCACCCCCUCUCAUUUCAGAAUCUCAUAUUGUAUUCUCAAG